UGGGGAAUUUUGGACAAUGGGCGAAAGCCUGAUCCAGCAAUGCCGCGUGUGUGAAGAAGGCCUUCGGGUUGUAAAGCACUUUUGUCCGGAAAGAAAUCCUUGGCUCUAAUACAGUCGGGGGAUGACGGUACCGGAAGAAUAAGCACCGGCUAACUACGUGCCAGCAGCCGCGGUAAUACGUAGGGUGCGAGCGUUAAUCGGAAUUACUGGGCGUAAAGCGUGCGCAGGCGGUUUGCUAAGACCGAUGUGAAAUCCCCGGGCUCAACCUGGGAACUGCAUUGGUGACUGGCAGGCUAGAGUAUGGCAGAGGGGGGUAGAAUUCCACGUGUAGCAGUGAAAUGCGUAGAGAUGUGGAGGAAUACCUAUGGCGAAGGCAGCCCCCUGGGCCAAUACUGACGCUCAUGCACGAAAGCGUGGGGAGCAAACA
rnacentral:rRNA from 1 species